GACUACAGGGGUAUCUAAUCCUGUUUGCUCCCCACGCUUUCGUGCAUGAGCGUCAGUGUUAUCCCAGGAGGCUGCCUUCGCCAUCGGUGUUCCUCCGCAUAUCUACGCAUUUCACUGCUACACGCGGAAUUCCACCUCCCUCUGACACACUCUAGUCUCCCAGUUCCAAACGCAGUUCCCAGGUUAAGCCCGGGGAUUUCACGUCUGGCUUAAGAAACCGCCUGCGCACGCUUUACGCCCAGUAAUUCCGAUUAACGCUCGCACCCUACGUAUUACCGCGGCUGCUGGCACGUAGUUAGCCGGUGCUUCUUCUUACGGUACCGUCAUCCACACAGAGUAUUAGUCCAUGCGAUUUCUUUCCGUCCGAAAGCGGUUUACAACCCGAAGGCCUUCUUCCCGCACGCGGCAUGGCUGGAUCAGGGUUGCCCCCAUUGUCCAAAAUUCCCCACUGCAGCCACCCGUAGG
rnacentral:rRNA from 1 species